GAUGAAGAACGUAGCAAAAUGCGAUACUUGGUGUGAAUUGCAGAAUCCCAUGAACCAUCGAGUUUUUGAACGCAAGUUGCGCCCGAAGCCUUUUGGCCGAGGGCACGUCUGCCUGGGCGUCACGCAUCGCGUCGCCCCCCACAAUUCUCCGUAAAAGGAACAUGUGUUUUGGGGGCGGAUAUUGGUCUCCCGUGCUCAUGGCGUGGUUGGCCGAAAUAGGAGUCCUUUCGAUGGACGCACGAACUAGUGGUGGUCGUAAAAACCCUCGUCUUUUGUUUCGUGCUGUUGCUCGCAAGGUAAACUCUUUAAAAACCCCAAUGUGUCGUCUCUUGACGACGCUUCGACCGCGACCCCAGGUCAGGCGGGACUACCCGCUGAGUUUAAGCAUAUCAAUAAGCGGAGA
rnacentral:misc_RNA from 1 species